GUUAAGCGACUAAGCGUACACGGUGGAUGCCCUGGCAGUCAGAGGCGAUGAAGGACGUGCUAAUCUGCGAUAAGCGUCGGUAAGGUGAUAUGAACCGUUAUAACCGGCGAUUUCCGAAUGGGGAAACCCAGUGUGAUUCGUCACACUAUCAUUAACUGAAUCCAUAGGUUAAUGAGGCGAACCGGGGGAACUGAAACAUCUAAGUACCCCGAGGAAAAGAAAUCAACCGAGAUUCCCCCAGUAGCGGCGAGCGAACGGGGAGGAGCCCAGAGCCUGAAUCAGUGUGUGUGUUAGUGGAAGCGUCUGGAAAGGCGCGCGAUACAGGGUGACAGCCCCGUACACAAAAAUGCACAUACUGUGAGCUCGAUGAGUAGGGCGGGACACGUGGUAUCCUGUCUGAAUAUGGGGGGACCAUCCUCCAAGGCUAAAUACUCCUGACUGACCGAUAGUGAACCAGUACCGUGAGGGAAAGGCGAAAAGAACCCCGGCGAGGGGAGUGAAAAAGAACCUGAAACCGUGUACGUACAAGCAGUGGGAGCCUCUUUAUGGGGUGACUGCGUACCUUUUGUAUAAUGGGUCAGCGACUUAUAUUCUGUAGCAAGGUUAACCGAAUAGGGGAGCCGAAGGGAAACCGAGUCUUAACUGGGCGUUAAGUUGCAGGGUAUAGACCCGAAACCCGGUGAUCUAGCCAUGGGCAGGUUGAAGGUUGGGUAACACUAACUGGAGGACCGAACCGACUAAUGUUGAAAAAUUAGCGGAUGACUUGUGGCUGGGGGUGAAAGGCCAAUCAAACCGGGAGAUAGCUGGUUCUCCCCGAAAGCUAUUUAGGUAGCGCCUCGUGAAUUCAUCUCCGGGGGUAGAGCACUGUUUCGGCAAGGGGGUCAUCCCGACUUACCAACCCGAUGCAAACUGCGAAUACCGGAGAAUGUUAUCACGGGAGACACACGGCGGGUGCUAACGUCCGUCGUGAAGAGGGAAACAACCCAGACCGCCAGCUAAGGUCCCAAAGUCAUGGUUAAGUGGGAAACGAUGUGGGAAGGCCCAGACAGCCAGGAUGUUGGCUUAGAAGCAGCCAUCAUUUAAAGAAAGCGUAAUAGCUCACUGGUCGAGUCGGCCUGCGCGGAAGAUGUAACGGGGCUAAACCAUGCACCGAAGCUGCGGCAGCGACGCUUAUGCGUUGUUGGGUA
rnacentral:rRNA from 1 species